rnacentral:rRNA from 1 species
ACUCCUACGGGAGGCAGCAGUGGGGAAUAUUGCACAAUGGGCGCAAGCCUGAUGCAGCCAUGCCGCGUGUAUGAAGAAGGCCUUCGGUUGUAAAGUACUUUCAGCAGUGAGGAAGGCGGGUACGUUAAAUAGCGUGCUCGUUUGACGUUAGCUGCAGAAAGAAGCACCGGCUAACUCCGUGCCAGCAGCCGCGGUAAUACGGGG